CCCAGUGGCGGACGGGUGAGUAACGCGUGGGUAACCUGCCCUGUACAGGGGGACAACAGCCGGAAACGGCUGCUAAUACCGCAUAAGCCCGCGGCGCCGCAUGGCGCUGCGGGGAAAACUCCGGUGGUACAGGAUGGGCCCGCGUCUGAUUAGCCAGUUGGCGGGGUAACGGCCCACCAAGGCAGCGAUCAGUAGCCGGCUUGAGAGAGUGGACGGCCACAUUGGGACUGAGACACGGCCCAGACUCCUACGGAAGGCAGCAG
rnacentral:rRNA from 1 species